rnacentral:rRNA from 1 species
AAUCAACGCUGGCGGCGUGCCUCAGACAUGCAAGUCGAACGCGAAAGUCCCCUUCGGGGGGACAAGUAGAGUGGCGCACGGGUGAGUAACACGUAGGUAAUCUACCUUCGGAUGGGGAAUAACAACCGGAAACGGUUGCUAAUACCGCAUAAUGCAGCGGCACCUAAUGGUGACAGUUGUUAAAGCGGGGGAUCGUUAAGACCUCGCGUCUGAAGAGGAGCCUGCGGCGGAUUAGCUAGUGGUAGGGUAACGGCCUACCAAGGCGACGAUCCGUAGCCGGCCUGAGAGGGGCGGUCGGGCCACACUGACACUGACAUACGGGUCAGACUCCUACGGGAGGCAGCAGUCGGGAAGUUUUGGGCAAUGGGCGAAAGCCUGACCCAGCAACGCCGCGUGAAGGAU